rnacentral:lncRNA from 1 species
GGUUAUCGGGUUGUUGGAGUAUCGAGUUAUAAGAUUCAGGUUAUUGAAUAGUGGGUUAUCAGGUUGUGGGUUAUUUGGUUGUUAGGUUUUAGGUUGCGGAUUAUUAGUUGUGGAAGGAGGUUUAGCUGGGCCAGGAUUGGGGUUAGGGUUCGUUUCGAGUUAUGGUUAGGAUGAAUAAUUGGGUUAGGUCAAUUAUGAAUGGGAUUGUGUCCGAUUAGUGUUGAGAUGGCCAUUUGGGUUAGGGUUAGACUAGGGUCAGGGUUAGGUUAGGGUUAGGGUUCAGAAGUGAGGAUGUUAGUGGAGAGAGCUAGGGUUUUCGAUAGAGGUGAGGGUAGGGUUUCAGUGGCAAGUGAGAGAAAU